UAUAAUUUAACAUUUCCAUUGACUUUUAUUUCAAGCAUGUGAAGUGGACCUUUCCCUAUGAAUUUGUUUUAAAUAGGAAGUAUGACCUAUGUUCGUCAUUUUUAAUAAAAAUUGUAUCUUUUUGAGUCAACUGUUUUGAACAUAAAUUGUCUUAUACUAUAUGAUGGUGCACUGCCCUUUCGACUGUAUAUUAUUUAUCAUAUUC
rnacentral:lncRNA from 1 species